UUAAGCGACUAAGCGUACACGGUGGAUGCCCUGGCAGUCAGAGGCGAUGAAGGACGUGCUAAUCUGCGAUAAGCGUCGGUAAGGUGAUAUGAACCGUUAUAACCGGCGAUUUCCGAAUGGGGAAACCCAGUGUGAUUCGUCACACUAUCAUUAACUGAAUCCAUAGGUUAAUGAGGCGAACCGGGGGAACUGAAACAUCUAAGUACCCCGAGGAAAAGAAAUCAACCGAGAUUCCCCCAGUAGCGGCGAGCGAACGGGGAGCAGCCCAGAGCCUGAAUCAGUGUGUGUGUUAGUGGAAGCGUCUGGAAAGGCGCGCGAUACAGGGUGACAGCCCCGUACACAAAAAUGCACAUGCUGUGAGCUCGAUGAGUAGGGCGGGACACGUGGUAUCCUGUCUGAAUAUGGGGGGACCAUCCUCCAAGGCUAAAUACUCCUGACUGACCGAUAGUGAACCAGUACCGUGAGGGAAAGGCGAAAAGAACCCCGGCGAGGGGAGUGAAAAAGAACCUGAAACCGUGUACGUACAAGCAGUGGGAGCACAGAGCAAUCUGUGUGACUGCGUACCUUUUGUAUAAUGGGUCAGCGACUUAUAUUCUGUAGCAAGGUUAACCGAAUAGGGGAGCCGAAGGGAAACCGAGUCUUAACUGGGCGUUAAGUUGCAGGGUAUAGACCCGAAACCCGGUGAUCUAGCCAUGGGCAGGUUGAAGGUUGGGUAACACUAACUGGAGGACCGAACCGACUAAUGUUGAAAAAUUAGCGGAUGACUUGUGGCUGGGGGUGAAAGGCCAAUCAAACCGGGAGAUAGCUGGUUCUCCCCGAAAGCUAUUUAGGUAGCGCCUCGUGAAUUCAUCUCCGGGGGUAGAGCACUGUUUCGGCAAGGGGGUCAUCCCGACUUACCAACCCGAUGCAAACUGCGAAUACCGGAGAAUGUUAUCACGGGAGACACACGGCGGGUGCUAACGUCCGUCGUGAAGAGGGAAACAACCCAGACCGCCAGCUAAGGUCCCAAAGUCAUGGUUAAGUGGGAAACGAUGUGGGAAGGCCCAGACAGCCAGGAUGUUGGCUUAGAAGCAGCCAUCAUUUAAAGAAAGCGUAAUAGCUCACUGGUCGAGUCGGCCUGCGCGGAAGAUGUAACGGGGCUAAACCAUGCACCGAAGCUGCGGCAGCGACGCUUAUGCGUUGUUGGGUAGGGGAGCGUUCUGUAAGCCUGCGAAGGUGUGCUGUGAGGCAUGCUGGAGGUAUCAGAAGUGCGAAUGCUGACAUAAGUAACGAUAAAGCGGGUGAAAAGCCCGCUCGCCGGAAGACCAAGGGUUCCUGUCCAACGUUAAUCGGGGCAGGGUGAGUCGACCCCUAAGGCGAGGCCGAAAGGCGUAGUCGAUGGGAAACAGGUUAAUAUUCCUGUACUUGGUGUUACUGCGAAGGGGGGACGGAGAAGGCUAUGUUGGCCGGGCGACGGUUGUCCCGGUUUAAGCGUGUAGGCUGGUUUUCCAGGCAAAUCCGGAAAAUCAAGGCUGAGGCGUGAUGACGAGGCACUACGGUGCUGAAGCAACAAAUGCCCUGCUUCCAGGAAAAGCCUCUAAGCAUCAGGUAACAUCAAAUCGUACCCCAAACCGACACAGGUGGUCAGGUAGAGAAUACCAAGGCGCUUGAGAGAACUCGGGUGAAGGAACUAGGCAAAAUGGUGCCGUAACUUCGGGAGAAGGCACGCUGAUAUGUAGGUGAAGUCCCUCGCGGAUGGAGCUGAAAUCAGUCGAAGAUACCAGCUGGCUGCAACUGUUUAUUAAAAACACAGCACUGUGCAAACACGAAAGUGGACGUAUACGGUGUGACGCCUGCCCGGUGCCGGAAGGUUAAUUGAUGGGGUCAGCGCAAGCGAAGCUCUUGAUCGAAGCCCCGGUAAACGGCGGCCGUAACUAUAACGGUCCUAAGGUAGCGAAAUUCCUUGUCGGGUAAGUUCCGACCUGCACGAAUGGCGUAAUGAUGGCCAGGCUGUCUCCACCCGAGACUCAGUGAAAUUGAACUCGCUGUGAAGAUGCAGUGUACCCGCGGCAAGACGGAAAGACCCCGUGAACCUUUACUAUAGCUUGACACUGAACAUUGAGCCUUGAUGUGUAGGAUAGGUGGGAGGCUUUGAAGUGUGGACGCCAGUCUGCAUGGAGCCGACCUUGAAAUACCACCCUUUAAUGUUUGAUGUUCUAACGUUGACCCGUGAUCCGGGUUGCGGACAGUGUCUGGUGGGUAGUUUGACUGGGGCGGUCUCCUCCUAAAGAGUAACGGAGGAGCACGAAGGUUGGCUAAUCCUGGUCGGACAUCAGGAGGUUAGUGCAAUGGCAUAAGCCAGCUUGACUGCGAGCGUGACGGCGCGAGCAGGUGCGAAAGCAGGUCAUAGUGAUCCGGUGGUUCUGAAUGGAAGGGCCAUCGCUCAACGGAUAAAAGGUACUCCGGGGAUAACAGGCUGAUACCGCCCAAGAGUUCAUAUCGACGGCGGUGUUUGGCACCUCGAUGUCGGCUCAUCACAUCCUGGGGCUGAAGUAGGUCCCAAGGGUAUGGCUGUUCGCCAUUUAAAGUGGUACGCGAGCUGGGUUUAGAACGUCGUGAGACAGUUCGGUCCCUAUCUGCCGUGGGCGCUGGAGAACUGAGGGGGGCUGCUCCUAGUACGAGAGGACCGGAGUGGACGCAUCACUGGUGUUCGGGUUGUCAUGCCAAUGGCACUGCCCGGUAGCUAAAUGCGGAAGAGAUAAGUGCUGAAAGCAUCUAAGCACGAAACUUGCCCCGAGAUGAGUUCUCCCUGACCCUUUAAGGGUCCUGAAGGAACGUUGAAGACGACGACGUUGAUAGGCCGGGUGUGUAAGCGCAGCGAUGCGUUGAGCUAACCGGUACUAAUGAACCGUGAGGCUUAACCUU
rnacentral:rRNA from 2 species